rnacentral:rRNA from 1 species
UACGGAGGGGGCUAGCGUUGUUCGGAAUUACUGGGCGUAGAGCGCACGUAGGCGGCUUUGUAAGUUAGAGGUGAAAGCCCGGAGCUCAACUCCGGAACUGCCUUUAAGACUGCAUCGCUUGAAUCAUGGAGAGGUCAGUGGAAUUCCGAGUGUAGAGGUGAAAUUCGUAGAUAUUCGGAAGAACACCAGUGGCGAAGGCGACUGACUGGACAUGUAUUGACACUCAUCCGCGAAAGCGUGGGGAGCAAACAGG